rnacentral:rRNA from 1 species
AGUGAACGCUGGCGGUAGGCCUAACACAUGCAAGUCGAACGGCAGCACAGUAAGAGCUUGCUCUUACGGGUGGCGAGUGGCGGACGGGUGAGGAAUACAUCGGAAUCUACUUUUUCGUGGGGGAUAACGUAGGGAAACUUACGCUAAUACCGCAUACGACCUACGGGUGAAAGCAGGGGAUCUUCGGACCUUGCGCGAUUGAAUGAGCCGAUGUCGGAUUAGCUAGUUGGCGGGGUAAAGGCCCACCAAGGCGACGAUCCGUAGCUGGUCUGAGAGGAUGAUCAGCCACACUGGAACUGAGACACGGUCCAGACUCCUACGGGAGGCAGCAGUGGGGAAUAUUGGGAAAUGGGCGCAAGCCUGAUCCAGCCAUACCGCGUGGGUGAAGAAGGCCUUCGGGUUGUAAAGCCCUUUUGUUGGGAAAGAAAAGCAGCAGGUUAAUACCCCGCUGUUCUGACGGUACCAAAAGAAUAAGCACCGGCUAACUUCGUG